UUCCUGGCCAGAUUCAGCGUUGUGUACCAUAUUAUUUUGGUCGUAACGUGUUGGGUUAUGACAGAUGUGUGGUCCGUAUCGCGAUUACUGACGUAGAAACGAAACAUUGUUUUUAGUAGUUUUGUUGAACAACACUUUUUGUUGCUGUCGUGGAGAUAGAUGGAAAAAGUUUUGCAGAUUAAAAGUGCUGAUCGACCUAGAAAAAUGAAAACAGCCAUAAUCAUAUUUCUGGUGUGUCUAGCGUUAAGAUUCGAUGCCACGGCCGGUGCACCGGUUGAAAAAGCCGGAUCCGGUUCCAACAAUCGCCUCAAGAGGGAAAAAACGAUUCCUCAGAUAUGUGCUUACUACAUCGACAAUGGAAUACAAGGGCCAGCCUACUGCUACCAGUCGGGCUCAUGGAAUUAGAACCUGGAACCCUGGCGUGUGGGCCACUCGACCUACACACACAACCAGCUGAUCACCGUAGCUCCU